UUAAAAUAAGAAUGAGUUGCUAUUAGUUUUUGAAGUUACAAAAAAAAAUCCCUAAAAUAUUCCUAAGAGACAACAAUGUCCCACUGUAGUAUAUAAUUUAGGUGUGGAGGCAUCCAGGUACUAAUCAAUAGCUUGCCAACCUAAGGAUUCUAAAAAGGCUGACAGAAUGACAACUGCUAGUUGAAAUAUUUACAGCUUAUUUUAGCACAGGUAUGUGUAACAUAAUGUCAGAAUCAGAAAACAGACCACUUUGCCUGAACAGAAAAAUGAUUCAUAAAGAGAAAAAUCUCACAUGUAAAUUAUAACAUCAAUAUUCAACAUAUUUUCUUUUCAAUGAAUUUUUUUCCAGGCUAUUUGGAUUAGGUUUUGAAACUCAGUUGGCCAGAUGACAUUUAGAAUAGUGUCUAUUCAUCGCCUAAAGAAACACCAAGUAGGACUAGGUGGACUCUAAAGGAAAAAAAAUGAUAGAAACAAAAUAUGGCAAUUUUUUUUGUUUGCUGGUGAAGUUUGCCAAUUGAAUAAUGUGAGUUGGGCAUGGUGGGUCAGGGAAAUAGGGAUAUUGCUUCUGGGAGUUUUCAAGCUGUUGUCUUCAGGGUUCUUCAGUACCUUUAUGCCUUCUUUCCUUAUGACUUCCCUAAGUCCAUGAUUAAGACCCAAGGCCUUUCUAUCAGCUUCUUGCGCACAUCAAGGCUAAAAGCAGACAUACCUAUGGGAGCAGGCAGGUGACAGUACAGAUGAAUGAGGCAGAGGGUGGUGACCUAGGGGGUCCAGGGUUUUUCCCUCCAGCUGAUAAAUGCCAGGAGGAAACAGAGCCAAAAUUAUAAGGUGUCAAAGAUAUUGAUUUUGCAUAAGAAUCUGGGUUAAUUUUAGUGAAGUUGCUUGGUUUUUAAAGGCUGGCUUAUUGAAAAAACACUCUGGGCUCACUGAAAUGCUUUUGUCUGGGUUACAUACAGUGCCAAAGAAGAUUAAAACAAUGCACUUGUUUUCAAUACAUAUUUCAAAGAAAGGAAAAAAUAUCAUAGAUAACUGUUUUUUAUUUCCCCCCUCCAAAUCUGUUUGCUAGCCAGUAUCAGCAUAAAUAAAAGUACUGAGAAUGACAACACAGCUCUGGGAGCAUGCAGAGGUGGAGCAUGCAGAGGUAGCUUCCAGGAUGGCCAGGGAUGAUUGAGAGUCAGGAUGAGGCUGUGCCAGAUCCCAGGAAAACCUUAUGAAUACCCAAGAGUUGAAUACCUCUGGUCAAGAGAGUCGAUACUUAACUACAACCACCACCACCAUCACCACCACUACUGCUACCAAAACACAACACGAAAUAAAACCCUUUUAUAUUUGGCUGAAAAUCUCAGUAAAUGAUUUAAGAGCACAUCCAAUCAUAUACCCCAAUAAUUACCACAACAGCAAACUGUAAGAAAUCAUCAUGGCCUCAUAUGAGAAUUGUUUUGACCUUGCUAAGAACUUCCUGCAACUUUCCAGCUAUGUUCUGAGUUGCUAUUUAUAUUUGAGAGCAAAAGAACUUUAUAUAGACCCAUGUGUUCAGCUGCACCAAACAGACGGGAAAGACUGUUGCUUGACUAAUUUCCAUACCAAAUUUAAACAUUCGACAGUAAGUAUGACACAUUAAUUUAAGUCAUUUUAAAUUUCUCCAAUCCAAGGAAACUGACCAAAUCAACUAACUCUGUAUAGUUUAGAUGAGUUAAAUAAUUUUUAAUAGAGCCUUAUUUGUUGGCUCCUAGAGUAGAACAAUGCAAACUUUGGCCCAGCUAAGAUUUGUGGCUUGCCCCGCUACCCACUUGUUCUAUUUUUCUGUACCUAGACUAGCCGCCUAACCUGCUGCCUACCUAAUCUUGUAUUAGCUGAGAGAGGAAGAAAUAGCAACAAAAAAGAAUUACUACAGCAGGUCCAACUAGCAAAGUUUAACUUGCCAAAACACUAAGCUAGACUUCAUGGAUAUUCAUAUAUUAAAAAUAAAUCUACCAUAUUCACUCUUCUUCCUGGAAAGCAACUCAGCUGCUAGCCUGAAGAUGGAAAAUGACUUAAAGCCUAAGAAAUUCUUCACUUGCAUAAAUCUGAUUUUGAUUCUUGAGAGCUAGGUUUCAGUAAGAACUGGCCUAACAUU